UUCCAUAAGCGGGAGGAAAAAGAAACUAACAAAGGAUUCCCCUAGUAACGGCGAGUGAAGAGGGAAAAGCUCAAAAUUUUGAAUCUGGCACCCUUGGUGUCCGAAUUGUAAUCUAGAGAAGUGUUUUCUGUGGCGGACCGUGCAUAAGUCUCCUGGAAUGGAGCGUCAUAGAGGGUGAGAAUCCCGUAUAUGGCAUGGACUCCCGCUACUAUACGAUACACUCUCGACGAGUCGAGUUGUUUGGGAAUGCAGCUCCAAAUGGGUGGUAAAUGCCAUCUAAAGCUAAAUAUUGGCGAGAGACCGAUAGCGAACAAGUACCGUGAGGGAAAGAUGAAAAGCACUUUGGAAAGAGAGUGAAACAGUACGUGAAAUUGUUGAAAGGGAAACGCUUGAAGUCAGUCGCGCCGUUCGGGAUUCAGCCUUGCUUCUGCUUGGUUUACUUCCCGUUGGGUGGGUCAACAUCAGUUUCGGUCGGAGGAGAAAGGCUUGGGGAAGGUAGCAGCAUUCGUGCUGUGUUAUAGCCCCUUGUUGUAUACUUCGAUUGGGACUGAGGACUGCAACACGCCUUUGGCCG
rnacentral:rRNA from 1 species